CACGUAGGCACCAAGCGUUGUCCGGAUUUAUUGGGCGUAAAGAGCUCGUAGGCGGCUUAGCAAGUCGGAAGUGAAAUCCCUCGGCUCAACCAAGGAAGUGCUUUCGAAACUGCUGAGCUUGAGUACUUAAGAGGAUCGCGGAAUUCCCGGUGUAGAGGUGAAAUUCGUAGAUAUCGGGAGGAACACCAGUGGCGAAGGCGGCGAUCUGGGAAGAUACUGACGCUGAGGUGCGAAAGCGUGGGGAGCAAACAGG
rnacentral:rRNA from 1 species